UUGAAAGGACCUCCCUGUAAACAGGGAUCAAGGUCCAUUCCUUGCCCACCAAAAUGCUCUAUGGGUCCCUUCCAUAGCCGAGGCUGAGCGACCCCCCUUUAAGAAGGGUUGAGGUCUCUGUGGGUUUCAGCUCCUGAGGGCCUAGCCUUUAAAACGCCCUGUGCCAUUGACCUCUGCCUGUAAGAAGGGUGCAGGUCUCCCCUUUCUAGCUUGUCUUGGGCCGUUGGCACUCGCUGGGCAACGAGACCACCCUCUCCUGAGGGAACGGAGGUCUCUCCUUCACUGCGCUUUUCGCUCUGGCCCAUUGGAACGCCCCUGGCUUCGGGACCACCCUGUAAGGAGGGUUUGGGUCUCCUUUGCCACGCCAAUUAAGCCACAGGUCACUUUGACACGCCAGGAAAAUGACUGCCCUGUAACCAGGGUGUAAGGUCUUCUUCCUCUCACGCUUAAACUAGGGGAGCCUUUUUGUGCCUGUGGCUGAGCGACCCCCCUUUAAGAAGGGUUGAGGUCUCUGUGGGUUUCAACUCCUGAGGGCCUAGCCUUUAAAAUGCCCUGUGCCAUUGACCUCUCCCUGUAAGAAGGGUGCAGGUCUCCCCUUUCUAGCUUGUCUUGGGCCGUUGGCACUCGCUGGGCAACGAGACCACCCUCUCCUGAGGGAACGGAGGUCUCUCCUUCACUGCGCUUUUCGCUCUGGCCCAUUGGAACGCCCCUGGCUUCGGGACCACCCUGUAAGGAGGGUUUGGGUCUCCUUUGCCACGCCAAUUAAGCCACAGGUCACUUUGACACGCCAGGAAAAUGACUGCCCUGUAACCAGGGUGUAAGGUCUUCUUCCUCUCACGCUUAAACUAGGGGAGCCUUUUUGUGCCUGUGGCUGAGCGACCCCCCUUUAAGAAGGGUUGAGGUCUCUGUGGGUUUCAGCUCCUGAGGGCCUAGCCUUUAAAAUGCCCUGUGCCAUUGACCUCUCCCUGUAAGAAGGGUGCAGGUCUCCCCUUUCUAGCUUGUCUUGGGCCGUUGGCACUCGCUGGGCAACGAGACCACCCUCUCCUGAGGGAACGGAGGUCUCUCCUUCACUGCGCUUUUCGCUCUGGCCCAUUGGAACGCCCCUGGCUUCGGGACCACCCUGUAAGGAGGGUUUGGGUCUCCUUUGCCACGCCAAUUAAGCCACAGGUCACUUUGACACGCCAGGAAAAUGACUGCCCUGUAACCAGGGUGUAAGGUCUUCUUCCUCUCACGCUUAAACUAGGGGAGCCUUUUUGUGCCUGUGGCUGAGCGACCCCCCUUUAAGAAGGGUUGAGGUCUCUGUGGGUUUCAACUCCUGAGGGCCUAGCCUUUAAAAUGCCCUGUGCCAUUGACCUCUCCCUGUAAGAAGGGUGCAGGUCUCCCUUUCUAGCUUGUCUUGGGCCGUUGGCACUCGCUGGGCAACGAGACCACCCUCUCCUGAGGGAACGGAGGUCUCUCCUUCACUGCGCUUUUCGCUCUGGCCCAUUGGAACGCCCCUGGCUUCGGGACCACCCUGUAAGGAGGGUUUGGGUCUCCUUUGCCACGCCAAUUAAGCCACAGGUCACUUUGACACGCCAGGAAAAUGACUGCCCUGUAACCAGGGUGUAAGGUCUUCUUCCUAUCACGCUUAAACUAGGGGAGCCUUUUUGUGCCUGUGGCUGAGCGACCCCCCUUUAAGAAGGGUUGAGGUUCUGUUUCUCUUAGUCACAGUAAAAUCCCCCAGAAUGAUUUCUACUUGGCUUUUUUGAGAUUUGAAGUGAAAUCUUACUUGUGACCUAUCCCGCUCACAUGGAACAUGGUGUGGCGAAGGGCCGGCUGUAAGGGGAUGGUGGAGGCCGUGGAAAAUUCGCCCCUUUUCUCAAAAAAGCCAAGAAAUGGCCCAACCAUGCUAAUGUCACAAAGUCUGGAAAUAAACAGGUGAGGUUUGGGAUACAGACCCUCACUUCCACGUAAUCCUUCCUCAAGUCCUCUUGCCCUGCCCAAUUUACACUGCUCAACCAACCACAACUUUGACCCUUUGUUUUCUUGUGCACAAGAAAGACACGGUUGGACUGAUGAGUGUUAACUGUAGAGAUUCGGACAGCUGCCUUAGUCGGGUCCGAAUUCCA